ensembl:snRNA U1 U1 spliceosomal RNA
AUACUUACCUGGCAGAGGAAACACCAUGAUCACGCAGGUGGUUUUCCCAGGGCGAGGCGCGUCCAUUGCACUUGGGGCGCGCUGACUCCUGCGAUUUCUCCACAUAGGGGAAACUCGACUGCGUAAUUUGUGGUAGUGGGGGACUGCGUGCGCGCUCUCCCCUG